rnacentral:rRNA from 1 species
AUACGUAGGGGGCUAGCGUUAUCCGGAUUUACUGGGCGUAAAGCGCGCGUAGGCGGAUCGCUAAGCGGAACCUCUAAUCCGAGGGCUCAACCCCCGGCCGGGUUCCGAACUGGCGGUCUCGAGUGCGGUAGGGGCAAGUGGAAUUCCAUGUGUAGCGGUGGAAUGCGCAGAUAUAUGGAAGAACACCGAUGGCGAAGGCAGCUUGCUGGGCCGUCACUGACGCUGAGGUGCGAAAGCGUGGGGAGC